GGAGCUGGUCGAAAGACCCUGAUCCACCGAGCGGCGGGGGAAACCCCC
ncrna:unclassified sequences DTF3800-XI RNA